UAUUAUUUACUGAUUAAAUGAAUAUUGGACUGCAGCAGCACUCCGUCGUCAUAUGCUAUGCUCAUGCUGGGCCACGUAGCAGCAUUGGGCGAGGCCACGGAGGAGGAGGUGGGCGUCUUUUUAAUGAUUUGAAGAAGACCAUAAAAGAAAAAGAAAAUCUGAUAACCAAUUUAAUGCUAGGUAGGGGUACAGCGAGCAACUGGGUCCUAUCAGUGUCACCGGUUCUCUAAUCGGUGUCUCUGAUAGUGUGGGUGAUGGUGGGCUCAUUAUCGUAUAACACAAACAAGUUGUGGGGCAUUGGCAAUGGGCAAUGGGCAAUGGGCAAUGGGCAUUGGAAUGUGUGGGUGUUGGUUUCAUUUCUGUUGGGAGGAAGGAAGAAGCAAACUCAGCAGAGCAGGAAAGAACGAGGCUCUUAACAAAUUUUAUUCGUUGCUUCAGUUAUACAUUGGUGCUCUGGGGUUCCAACUUGCAACCUCCUUGAUGCUUUCUAAAGCAUGAUAUUUUUUGCGUAACAGAGGAUGUCCAACUGUCUGGGUUGCAACUGAAAAUCAUCUUCGAAAUAAUAUCUUCAACAUACAAGGAUGCCCAAUUAUGUAUUUUACAUCUUUGGGUGACAACCUGCUAAUGUAUGAUGGGGAUAGAACAGAGGACACCAUUAACUUUCUUCAGAAUAAUCGGUAUAAGAUUUCCAAACCAGACUCAGUAAAGGAUGAGAUAUGAUUAUGGCUAAGAUGAAUUGCCACGGCUUCUGGCGUCCUCCUUUUUGCCCCAGUCAUGAAGCCUCAAGUGCAACUCAGCAG